rnacentral:rRNA from 1 species
ACGCUCGACACCUACGGGAAGCAGCAGUGGGGAAUAUUGCACAAUGGGGGAAACCCUGAUGCAGCGACGCCGCGUGAGCGAAGAAGUAUCUCGGUAUGUAAAGCUCUAUCAGCAGGGAAGAAGAUGACGGUACCUGACUAAGAAGCACCGGCUAAAUACGUGCCAGCAGCCACGGUAAUCUGAGCGGGCUGGCAAGGC